rnacentral:rRNA from 1 species
GGACGGGCCCCGCACAAGCAGCGGAGCGUGUGGUUUAAUUCGAUGUUACACGAAGAACCUUACCAGGGUUUGACAUGCAAGUGGUAGGAAACCGAAAGGUGACCGACCCUUCGGGGAGCUUGCACAGGUGCUGCAUGGCUGUCGUCAGCUCGUGUCGUGAGAUGUUCGGUUAAGUCCGCUAACGAGCGCAACCCUCGCUGUGUGUUAUAUGUGUCACACGGGACUGCCGGUCUUAAGCCGGAGGAAGGUGGGGAUGACGUCAAGUCAGCAUGGCCUUUAUAUCCAGGGCUACACACACGCUACAAUGGUCGGUACAAUGGGUUGCCAAGCCGCGAGGCGGAGCUAAUCUCAUCAAAACCGGCCUCAGUUCGGAUUGGAGGCUGCAACCCGCCUCCAUGAAGUCGGAGUUGCUAGUAAACGCCGGUCAGCUAUACGGCGUUGAAUACGUUCCCGGGCCUU